GACAAGUUAGGCGCCAGACUGAUGAACAGCGACCGAUGAUAGCUUUUUCCAAUGGAGUAAAUGACUGGUCGUCAACGAGGCCGUAUGGUUCAUCAUUGAAGUCCAAAAAGAAUAAAAAAAAAACACAGCAGCAGCUGCAGAACUCGAAGAUGUCAAAUCAAUCAAAGAAUGAGGACGGGGAAAAUCUAAACUUUUUGACAGCAGGAGUAGAGCCUUCGAGAUGAAGUACUGUUGGUACGAAAAACCAAAUGACUUGGUUAAAUUAAUCAACAAAAUUUCCUAAACUUUUGUGAAACUGGAUCCAGUGAGGAGGAGGAGGAGGAGAAGAAGAAUAUACACUCAAGACGGUCCAAGGAAAUUAAAUAUACUCGA
rnacentral:lncRNA from 1 species